GUCCCUUCGAGGACGUGUGAUAAAAGUGGAACGAUACAUAGAAGAUUAGUAUGAUUUCUGCACAAGGGUACAUGUACAAAUCGAAAACUAGUCCAAAUUUUU
rfam:Brassica rapa chromosome A9, whole genome shotgun sequence.